rnacentral:rRNA from 1 species
GGGGGCAAGCGUUUGUCCGGAUUCAUUGGGCGUAAAGAGCGUGUAGGCGGCCAGGUAGGUCGGUUGUGAAAACUGGAGGCUCAACCUUCAGACGUCGACCGAAACCAUCUGGCUAGAGUCCGGGAGAGGAGAGUGGAAUUCCCUGGUGUAGCGGUGAAAUGCGCAGAUAUCAGGAAGAACACCCCGUGGCGAAAGCGGCUCUCUGGAACGGUACUGACGCUGAGACGCGAAAAGCGUGGGGAGCGAACAGG